UGGGGAAUAUUGCACAAUGGGCGCAAGCCUGAUGCAGCCAUGCCGCGUGUGUGAAGAAGGCCUUCGGGUUGUAAAGCACUUUCAGCGAGGAGGAAGGUGGUGAACUUAAUACGUUCAUCAAUUGACGUUACUCGCAGAAGAAGCACCGGCUAACUCCGUGCCAGCAGCCGCGGUAAUACGGAGGGUGCAAGCGUUAAUCGGAAUUACUGGGCGUAAAGCGCACGCAGGCGGUUUGUUAAGUCAGAUGUGAAAUCCCCGGGCUCAACCUGGGAACUGCAUUUGAAACUGGCAAGCUAGAGUCUCGUAGAGGGGGGUAGAAUUCCAGGUGUAGCGGUGAAAUGCGUAGAGAUCUGGAGGAAUACCGGUGGCGAAGGCGGCCCCCUGGACGAAGACUGACGCUCAGGUGCGAAAGCGUGGGGAGCAAACAGAUUAGAUACCCUGGUAGUCCACGCUGUAAACGAUGUCGAUUUUGGAGGUUGUGCCCCUUGAGGCGUGGNUUCCGGAGCUAACGNGUUAAAUCGA
rnacentral:rRNA from 1 species